UGAUCCUCUGAGGUUGUAUCAAGUAAGAUUGUGUAUAUGCCUGCGUAAAAGAAUAUGAAUAACUCCAUACAUUUGCAGGCUUUAGUAAGGAAGAGUUGAUGAGCAUACCAGCUGGGAGGAGGAGGAAAUAUCAUGAUGAUGUGACUGUAAUGGUGAUAAUCCUGGGAAUGAACAAACGUACCUCAAAAGCAUCGACUCGUCUAUAAGUUUUGUCAAUCUGAAGAACAAUUUUGUCAAUUUUGUUUCAUAUUAUUUUGCAUUUUGUCCCCACAGUAAGGAAACCGAGGCCCCGGAGAGGAGGAGAGGAGAUGGUUAUUUUGCUUAUAGUAGAAAGUUUAUGUUAUUCACAAUUUUUCAAUUUGUUUGACAUUGUUCUCCAAAAUACCUUUACUUCAUUUGUAAUCUAUGUAUAUUGUUGCUCAUCAUUUUCAUGAAUAAGAGGA
rnacentral:misc_RNA from 1 species